rnacentral:rRNA from 1 species
UACGGGGGGGGGCAAGCGUUGUUCGGAAUUACUGGGCGUAAAGGGCUCGUAGGCGGCCAACUAAGUCGGAUGUGAAAUCCCCAGGCUCAACCUGGGAACUGCAUCCGAUACUGGAUGGCUUGAAUCCGGGAGAGGGAUGCAGAAUUCCAGGUGUAGCGGUGAAAUGCGUAGAUAUCUGGAGGAAUACCGGUGGCGAAGGCGGCAUCCUGGACCGGCAUUGACGCUGAGGAGCGAAAGCUAGG